AGCUUUGCGCAGUGGCAGUAUCAUAGCCAAUGAGGUUUAUCUGAGGCACGAUUAUUGCUAAUUGAAAAAGAUUGCAGCCAUUUCCCUCUGAGGGGGAGUUCACCCAAGGGCAACUUACUUGCCUCUGACAGUUCUAGGAAGUGACACUAAUAUGCA
ensembl:snRNA U4 U4 spliceosomal RNA